GUCCAUGGUCCUAUAAUUAUAAUGGAAGCAUCACACUCACAUCUGGUUCUAUAAUGUCUUACUGACUCUGUCUCCCCACCACCAGGCACAGUGCCUGAGACUUUCCGGGUUACAUGGAUGUGGAUGGAUGGAUGGCCUGGGUUGAAAUAAAUCCUAGUUUAGAAGACAAAGAAAAAAAAAAGCCAAAUUUGAAGUCAGAUUAAGAAGACUUGUGCUCAAGUUCUGCCUCUACCUCUAUCUGCUAAGACAGGAGAGUUUCAAAACAGCUGAGCAUGUGCAGACAUGAUUAGUAUGUAUUUUCUUAUGAAAGUAAUACAUGCUCAUCAUCAGUAAGUGGUUCAGAAUUGGGAGAACUCCCCAAUCCCAUCUCCUGCUAACAGUGUGCAAGGAAUACUUAUGUCAUGCAAUAGGGACAGAGGGUCACUCCUGCUGAUACCUUCUUUUGCAUCAUCUCACAUCUACCUGCCUCCUGGUUGGAUAAUCCUGAGCUAAUUACCUCACCCGUCUAAACUGCAGCUGUCAUGUAAGCAGGUAUUUUGGGGUUCACUCUCCUCAGCUCUUUCUUGUGGUCCAGCCAGAAUCAUGCCAGGUGUGGAACCUGGAAGUCCAGAAAGCAAAGUUUCUCACUGCUCUGAUACAGGUCCUCCUCCUUCAAAGGUGUGAUCUUCAAACCUAAGGGAGCACCUUGGUGUCCAUCUCCUCUUGCCUAGGCCUGCUCUUAGGAUAUUGGUUGUAUUGGUCCUAACCCUUCAUUUUACUGGGUGCACUUCUGAGAGUAGGCGAAGAGCUAACCAAACUAUAAAUCCCCG
rnacentral:lncRNA from 13 species